rnacentral:rRNA from 1 species
GAUGAACGCUGACAGAAUGCUUAACACAUGCAAGUCUACUUGAACUUCGGUUUGGGUGGCGGACGGGUGAGUAACGCGUAAAGAACUUGCCUCACAGUUAGGGACAACAUUUGGAAACGAAUGCUAAUACCUGAUAUUAUGAUUUUAGGGCAUCCUAGGAUUAUGAAAGCUAUAUGUGCUGUGAGAGAGCUUUGCGUCCCAUUAGCUAGUUGGAGAGGUAACGGCUCACCAAGGCGAUGAUGGGUAGCCGGCCUGAGAGGGUGAACGGCCACAAGGGGACUGAGACACGGCCCUUACUCCUACGGGAGGCAGCAGUGGGGAAUAUUGGACAAUGGACCAAAAGUCUGAUCCAGCAAUUCUGUGUGCACGAUGACGUUUUUCGGAAUGUAAAGUGCUUUCAGUUGGGAAGAAAAAAAUGACGGUACCAACAGAAGAAGUGACGGCUAAAUACGUGCCAGCAGCCGCGGUAAUACGUAUGUCACAAGCGUUAUCCGGAUUUAUUGGGCGUAAAGCGCGUCUAGGUGGUUAUGUAAGUCUGAUGUGAAGAUGCAGGGCUCGACUCUGUAUUGCGUUGGAAACUGCACAACUAGAGUACUGGAGAGGUAAGCGGAACUACAAGUGUAGAGGUGAAAUUCGUAGAUAUUUGUAGGAAUGCCGAUGGGGAAGCCAGCUUACUGGACAGAUACUGACGCUAAAGCGCGAAAGCGUGGGUAGCAAACAGG